UUUAUAUGGUUAUACUCACUUAAAUGAUCCACAACAGAUGUCAAAACCUUCACAUACCCCAUUCGUAAAACCAUAAUUAUGAUAAAAUUAAAAAGAAAAAUAGAUGAAAAUAAAAGUCAAUUAUAAGGCAAGUAAAAGAAGAAGGAUAUAAAUCAUUUUGAGUUUAAUUAAUUACUAGAAGCAACAAACUUCAACUUAAAGGAAAAACUAACAGUCAAAAGUUGCCUCCAAGACUAGAUUUUAAGAUGUUCACAAGUUUCUUCAGCUCCCUCCCCAUUCAACAAUGCUUUCAACCUAUCCAUUCAUUUCUUAUAUUGCAAUAACAGAAUAAUGACCCACCCCUCCCUAUAUAUGAUCAAUAUGGUCUCAAAUUCUUCAACUACAUGCCCAAACAAGAAAUUAACAAGAAAGAUGGAGGCAUAUCACAAGUUUCUACAUGGCACACUUGAAGCUACCAUCUUCCAUGCCACCCCUUAUACACCAUCUUUCCCCUUCAAUGUAAGGGCACUCUUUUUUGCUUUUCCUUCUGUCUAAAUAAUUAUUCAACCUUUUUGCUUAUUAGGAUUACACUUGCAUCACUACACCAAUGUAAAUAGACCAUUUUAAUUAUCAAACUAAAAUAUGAAAAUUUCUGCUUUGCAGUGCAUAUUUGCAAAUGGAAAGCCAACCUAUGUGACCAUCAAGAUCAAUAAUCAAAAGGUAGCAUCAACAAGCCAUGAAAUUGACAGGGUUUGGAAUCAAACCUUACAAAUUUUGUGUGCUCAUCCACCCGAUUCAACAAUCACAAUCUCCCUGAAAACCAACUGCUCUACCUUGGGGAAAAUCUGCAUUAGCGCCCACCAGAUAUUAACUGAAGCAAGUUUAAUCAAUGGUUUCUUUCCACUCUGCAUGGAAAAUGGAAAGACAGAUCAAGAACUAAAACUACGAUUUAUGUUAUGGUUUAAACCGGCAGAACUUGAACCAAGCUGGGAUAAAUUACUUGAAAAUUGUGGAUUCCAAGGUCUAAAGAAUGCUAGUUUCCCACAACGAUCCAACUGCAGUGUCACACUGUAUCAAGAUGCUCAUCAUCACCCUUCUUUUCAACCACCGGUCAAUCUUUGUAGGACACCAAGAAAACUAUGGGAGGAUGUGUAUAAAGCCAUCGAGGAUGCACAGCAUUUGAUAUACAUUGCAGGAUGGUCUUUCAACCCCAAGUUGGUUCUGGUAAGUGAAAAAAGUGUCAUUUCUCCCUCAAUUCUUCUCUCUGUUCUUCACAUUUCAAAGAUAAUAAUACUUGGCCGCGCAGGUUCGCGAUUCUCAAACAGAAAUUCCACAUGCAGUAGGAGUUAAACUUGGUGAUUUGUUGAAGCGGAAAGCAGAAGAAGGUGUGGCUGUGAGAAUCAUGCUUUGGGACGAUGAAACAUCAUUGCCUAUCAUUAAGAAUAAAGGAGUAAUGAGAACUCAUGAUGAAGAUGCAUUUUCCUACUUUAAACAUACCAAGGUAAUAUGUAAACUUUGCCCCAGAUUACACAACAAAUUCCCCACACUCUUUGCCCACCAUCAGAAAACCAUAACUUUGGACACUCAUGGACACUUGUCU
rnacentral:lncRNA from 1 species